rnacentral:lncRNA from 1 species
AUUUGUUUCGCGGAGAUUUCAUCGUGAUUCUAGGGUUAGGGCUUCGGUUUGUUUUGCGAUUCUUUUCCCAAAUCGUGAUUCUCGGUCGUGUUUGGUUUUUUUUUCGGUUGCAAUUUUGAAUUUUUUGUUCUUGGAUGUUCUUGGUUUGAGAUUCUUGAUCGUGAUUAUCUUUUGAUUCUGCCGCUUCUUCAAAAUCGCAUUUGCUUUGUUUGUGGAUUG